rnacentral:lncRNA from 1 species
CAACGAGCUGAAUAAUGACCCUCACUCUGCAGUCCACAGCUGCAGAAUGAUGGAGUGGCCGCAGACCAACCGUCUGCGCUUCCUCCCCUAGAAAAACACAACCUCCAGCCCAGAGUCAGAUAACUCCUUUCUCUUCCAGCAUUUCCUCUCUGUAGCCCUGUGGAAAGCAUCAUCAGUUGGACCGAUGCCGUCUAGCUUAAAAGGAGCUGGACAUAAUUUCACAGCUAAGAAAAGCCUCAUCUCUUUAACAGAUCGUUAAAACGUAUUGCAGAGACAUCGGAAUUUUGAACAGCCAGCUGGAGAAAAUUGAAAGUGGGUCUAUUGAUUCCCACCAAAAUGUUGACUUGAUUCUUCCCAGGAAAGGUAUGUGCUUGGGCACUGAUUUUUGUGCCCUAGCUUUUUGCCUAAUGCCUCCCUCUUCAGGUCAAUAGAAGGUAGGAUUGCUGAGAAUCGCAGGCAUUUCAACAGUCAUUCAUUCAAAUUCUCAGUGAACUCCCUCAGUGCCAAGAAUUAUGAACAGAGUUAUGGGUUGAAUUGUGUCUUGCAAAAAAGAUAGGUUGAAGUCCUCACCUUGGGUACCUGUGAAUGUGACCUUACUUGGAAAUAAGGUCUUUAUAGAUGUCAUUAAGUUAAGAUGAGGUCAUACUGCACUGGGGUGGGCCCUAAUGCAAUGACUUGUGUCUCUAUAAAAGGCAGAACAUGGUUGGGUGCAAUGGCUCACGCCUGUAAUCAUGAGGGCCAAUCAUGAGGUCAGGAGAUCAAGACCAGCCUGGCUAACACGGUGAAACCCCAUCUGUACCAAAAAUACAAAAAAUUAGUGAAGUGUGGUGGCACGUGCCUGUAGUCCCAGCUACUCAGGAGGCUGAGGCAGAAGAAUCGCUUGAACCCAGGAGGCGGAGGUUGCAGUGAGCUGAGAUCGCACCACUGCACUCCAGUCUGGGCGACAGAGCAAGACACUUUUUCAAAAAAAAAAAAAAAAAAAAGGCAGAACAUUUGGACACAUAGCCCCAUAAGGAGAGGCAGUGUGAAGACUGAGGCAGAGGCUGGAGGGAUGCAUCUACAAGCUGAGGAACACCAGGGGUUGCCGGCAACCGCUAGAAGCCAGGAAGGGGCCAGGGAGGACCCUCCUCUAGAGUCUUCAGAGAGAGCAUGGCCGGGCUGACACCUUGGUUUCAGACUUUUAACCUCCAGAACUGUGAGAGAGUAAAUUUCUGUUUUUUUAUUUGUUUGUCUUGUUUUUUUUUUUUUUUUUUUUGUUUUUGUUUGAGACAGAGUCUCACUCUGUCAUGCAGGCUGGAGUGCAGUGGUGCAAUCUGGGCUCACUGCAACCUCCCCCUCCUGAGUUCAAGCGAUUCUCCUGCCUCAGCCUCAGAGUAGCUGGGAUUACAGGCACAUGCCACCACGCCUGGCUAAUUUUUGUAUUUUUGGUAGAGAUGGGGUUUCACCAUGUUGGCCAGGCUGGUCUCAAACUCCUGACCUCAGGUGAUCUGCCCACCUUGACCUCCCAAAGUGCUGGAAUUACAGGUGUAGGUCACCACACCCAGCCAAUUUCUGUUGUUUAAAGCAAUCUUUUUUGUAGGACUUGGUUACAUCAGCCCCAGGAAACUGAUACAGACACGAAGAUAAAAACAACACAGUCCCUGCCUAGCAUCUAGCAGUAAGUGUGGCGCUAGGGCACGGGAUCCAACGGUGUUAGAGGAGGGGCUCCCCUGGUAAGCUGCUUGCAGGCUGAGCAACCUCACCCCGGCCGUCGCCGACUCUCCCUUUCUUGAGUCAGGAAGUGAUGCUGGUUACAUAUGUGUUGAUACCUUCUCCAGGGUUUCCAGAGUCUGUGGGUUGAUUUUCCUGAUGUAAUUGGUCUCUGAGGUCGCGUAGAAGUCUUCUCCGCACUUCAUGAUGUUGAUCAGGCAGUUGUCGGUGAAAUCGGGGAUGGUGUGAGACAAGUAGGAGAAAGCUCUGGGGAGAAAAGCAAAUCAACAGAGUCAGUGGCUAUGUCCACCCAGCCAGAGAAGUCUAUCCUUGAUGGCUUUAGUUUUCCUACCACUUAAAAAUGCUUUACUUCGGCCGGGUGCCUGUAAUCCCAGCACUGUGGGAGGCCGAGGCAGGUGGAUCACGAGGUCAGGAGAUUGAGACCAUCCUGGCCAACACGGUGAAACCCCGUCUGUACU